CUCCACGGAUGCAUGGAUACUACAAACUGUGCGCGGUUACGUCAUCAACUUUGUGGACCAUCCGCUUCAAAUGGACCCACACCGACCUAUCAACUGCUCAGCAAACGACGCCAGACUCAUUGACGUUGAACUACAGGAACUAUGCUCGAAGGGCACGAACGAACCUGCUUCCGAACCCGGGGGUUUCUUCAGCAAUAUGUUGCUAGUAAAAUAGAAAACCGGAGAAUUCCGUCUCGUUAUCAACUUAAGACGACACAACGUGUACAGGAUGUACCGCCACUUCAAGAUGGAGGGCAUCUCUUAAGGGACCUCCUUUAAGACGGAGACUGGUUCACAAGAUUGGA